rnacentral:ncRNA from 1 species
UUAGGUAGAGGUUGCAGAUGACAACAGUAAUUUAAGGGAGUUCACAGACAAAGAACUUAAAUGAAAGGGGAUUUUGCCGAAAUAAAAAAUAGGUUGAAGUUUUUUAUUGGGUGUAUAAAUAAUAUUUAUACAACUGUCAUUAAAAAGGGAUUUUUAAUGUUGAGCUAUC